UACAGAGGGGGCAAGCGUUGUUCGGAAUUACUGGGCGUAAAGGGCUCGUAGGCGGCCAACUAAGUCAGACGUGAAAUCCCUCGGCUUAACCGGGGAACUGCGUCUGAUACUGGAUGGCUAGAGGUUGGGAGAGGGAUGCGGAAUUCCAGGUGUAGCGGCGAAAUGCGUAGAUAUCUGGAGGAACACCGGUGGCGAAGGCGGCAUCCUGGACCAAUUCUGACGCUGAGGAGCGAAAGCCAGGGGAGCAAACGGG
rnacentral:rRNA from 1 species